rnacentral:lncRNA from 1 species
CAAGGAUAUAACUAACUGUCACUGUUUCAGAUUCAGUAUCUGUCACAUCACAUUCUGUAUGCAGGAAGAGCCUAUGAAUGUGGCAACGGCCACAAGGCUGUUGAGUCUGUGCCAGCUACUUGCCAUGACUUUUUUUUAGCAAGCAUACCUUAGGAAACUGAACUUCGCUUGAAACUGAAACUACCCUCCCAAAAUCAUCUCCAAGGCUUUCACCCUGUCACCCAGGCUGGCAGGCUGGAGUUCAGU